AACUCCAAUUUACAAAACAACAGUCUGCUCAUGGUUUUCUAGGCUCAGAAGGAUUUGGGGUAGAAGCAAUUAGGCAGAACAAAGUCAUACCAUUGCAGAUUAGAGAAAAGUUGGAAUUUUUGUGGCCUCCCUGCCUACAAUCUACUGAGCUCCCCACAAUGGCCUAGCCAACUAUGUAAGGGGCAACUUGCAUGCAACAGAUUGUGAGAUUGGCAUGACAAUGGAAAACAUUAAAAUAAAAUAAAAAUGUAAAACA
rnacentral:lncRNA from 1 species